rnacentral:lncRNA from 1 species
UAGGGAAUAAAUGAAAUGCCUGGGACAUCAUCGUUAAGUGGCAUCUGAUGCAUAAGCAGUGCCCUAGGAAUGGGGUUGCCUGCCUUGGUCUCUAAAGGAUGGGUUCAAAAGGCAAGAGCAGCACACAAGAAGAUAGCUUCAAGCAGGAGAUAAAGCUUGGCCCAGGGCCCAAAGGGGAUACGACCCUUCAGCAAACUGACAUGCUGAAAGCUGCCCUAUGGAGAGGCUCAUGUGGCAAGGAACAGAGGGUGGCUUCUGGCCAACACCCAGUGAGGAACUCAGGCCCUCAGUCAAACAGCCUGCAAGGAACUGAACCCUGCCAAUAACCAGGCAGUGUCAGCCCCCGGCCAAUGACCACCAUGGACCUCCCUGUAGUUGAACAAAGUUGGGUUUGCUGACUGGUGGCAGUGAGGGAGAAUGCACACCACAGGGAGCUGUGCAGUGUCUCAGUAAGAAGCCAGGAGCCAUCCCGUGAGGCCGUUACUGCAAACAAGCUGAAAAUCCUGCUUUGUUUCUUUUGGACACAACAUGCUUUCCUUCAGCUUCAGUAGACGAUGAGGCCAGCACCACAUGGGCUAGAUGUACAUGAGAUGUGAGCAACCACACUUCCCCUCUGACGGGGACAGACAGCAUCACAGGACAUGAAGUUCUAAGAGGUUCAGUGACUUGUCUAAGAUUAAACAGCUAUGAAUGGAGAACUGGAGGCAAAUGCUGAGCUCUGAAACUUCUCCUGGCAGUUCAAGAGAGCGAUGGAGGGAAUGCUGGGGCACAUCUAAAUAAAGCCUCCAAGUGGGAGUUCCUGCUCAGCUAUGCAUGAGCUCUUUGUGACUUCAUCUCCCAGCCUACAACUUGUGAAAUAAGCACGACUUCACUCAGAGCACAGCCAGAAACAUACAAACUUUCCAAAAAUAUUUGAAUGUUGACAGCA